GGUUUCGGCCUGUAAAGGACCCCAUAACCCCAGGUACAGAAACCGACCCCACCCAGCCCAACCGGCCCUGGGCGCCCCGCCGCCGUCACUCACUCGGGUGAUCCACGACCGGAAGGCUGGCCUCCGCGGCCCCCGCCCAUGCACUCUCGGUAACAACAACCCAAACCAACCGCAGACAUGCGACGGCCCCCGGCCGGGACUGGCAUCCCGAUCGAGGGCCUGACCAACGAGGAAGAAGCAAGCUUCCUG
rnacentral:ncRNA from 1 species